GCCAGCCCAGCGUAAACCUUGCCCCCUUGGAAGUGCCUAGCUGGGGUGGCCCUUGGGAGGACACCAGAGAGGCUCCUGAGGGGUGGUGGGGAAGGUCCUUGCCGCCUUGGGGCCUUUCAUCUGUUCCCUCCUCAGAAGUUGAAUGAGUGAAUGAAUGAGUGAGUGAGUGAGUGAGUGAGUGAGUGGGGACAGGCUUCAACACAAGCACUCCAUCUGCUUCCGGGGGAGAGGAAAGGUGGAGGACUUCAUGUACCAAGAUGGCUGCUACUCCAGGGUAGCACCCAGAGCUCCUAAAUCCUGACUCCAUCUGUUGCAGGCUGGGUGACCUUGGUGGGUGGCACUGUGGCACCAGAAGUGUCUCCCAGGCAGGUCCCCAGGCCUUCCAGCGGUGACCUGCUGGCCCCCUGCUGUCUCCUGCUGCUAUAACCUGCUGCUGUUUGGACCUUUACCUACAAGUGGCAGAUUUCGUGGAGGCCUGGCUCUGGACCCGCUGCAUCUGUAACACGGUGGAGAGAGCACAGGUGCAAUAAUCUUAUCAGGCUUCCAUACUUCCCCCAUGACAACCGUGUGCUGCUGUCCCCUGAUGGACACUGUUGGAGUCUGAUCUUAGCUGGGAGAUAUAUAUAUUGUGUGUGUGUGCGUGUGCUCACGCAUGUGUUCACAUGUGCACGUGUGUAUCCGUAUCAUCUCUGCGUGUAUCUGCACAUGGCGCAGUGUCACAGAGGCCCGAGAGGUCAACUUCUGAAGCUGGACAGGAUGUGGCAUGUGGGUGCUGAGAAUUGAAUUUGGUUCCUCUGCAAGGGCAGCAUCAUUUCUCCAGCCAGCCUGGGUUUUUUCUAGGCUGCUGCUGUGCUCCUGGGUGCAGUGAGGUCCUCCUGCCAGGCUGGGCUGGAAGAGGAGUGAGGCCGAUGAGCUACACCAGUGAGGAGCUCUGGGAUGCCGCAGGGAUCUGGGCACACACGGGUCCUCUGCUGUGUGAAGAGCAGAUAGGAACAACCUGUCACAUGUAAUGCUUGCUUCUCCAGGACCUUGCUGUACCAGCCCCAGGGGGCCAAGGGGUGAGGGGGCCAUGGGGCCGUGGGGUCAGGGGGCCAGGAGCCCAGGGCAGCAGGAGGCUGGGCCUACAGCCUAGACAGAGGCUCCUUCCUUUCCUAUCUGUCCCUGACAGGCGGCCUGGCCCCCUGUGCAGCUGUAGAGGACACUCCUCCUGACACUGCUGAGAUCCCCAGGUCAGAGUGAGGAUGGAGCUGGGACUUGCCACAGAGUUACCUGCACCUUCAAGAGGCAGGGGGCUUGUUUCCUUUCAGUGUUUUUAUCCCUAGAAUUCACCCCUAGCAGUAGUGUCUUCACCUUCCAUGAGGUCUUUCCCUCCUGUCUUUCCAUCUUCCAUCCCUCCCCUUAUCCACCAACUCCCUCAUCUCUCAUAGGGUCUCAAGCAGCUCAGGGUGGCCUCAGGCUCUCUAUGAUCUUGAACUUCUGACCCUAUGACCUUGAACUUCUGACCCUCCGGUCUCUCCCUCUUAGUGCUGGAAUCACAGGUACCUGCCACAAUGCCCAGACAAUGAUUCUUGGCUGCUUUUUAAAGUUUUUUUUUUUAACUUAGCAUGUAUGAAUUUACAUAAUGGAUUUCACUAUGGCAUUUUUAUAAAUGUAUGGAAUAUAUUUUGAUCAUAUCACCCCAUCAUCCUCUUUUGUCCUUCUCUGAGCCUUUCCUCUUCCCAACUAGUCUCCGACUUUUAUGUGUUUGCAUAUGUGCAAUGGGUUAACCUAGAGUUGCUUAUAGUCAUGUUCCUAAAAAGAAGGCCUGGUGGGGUACUUCAGUGGCAGAGUGAUUAC
rnacentral:lncRNA from 1 species